rnacentral:rRNA from 1 species
CCUACGGGUGGCAGCAGUGAGGAAUAUUGGUCAAUGGACGAGAGUCUGAACCAGCCAAGUAGCGUGAAGGAUGACUGCCCUAUGGGUUGUAAACUUCUUUUAUAUGGGAAUAAAACGUUCCACGUGUGGGCUUUUGUAUGUACCAUAUGAAUAAGGAUCGGCUAACUCCGUGCCAGCAGCCGCGGUAAUACGGAGGAUCCGAGCGUUAUCCGGAUUUAUUGGGUUUAAAGGGAGCGUAGGUGGAUUGUUAAGUCAGUUGUGAAAGUUUGCGGCUCAACCGUAAAAUUGCAAUUGAUACUGGCAGUCUUGAGUACAGUUGAGGUAGGCGGAAUUCGUGGUGUAGCGGUGAAAUGCUUAGAUAUCACGAAGAACCCCGAUUGCGAAGGCAGCUUACUAAACUGUGACUGACAUUGAUGCUCGAAAGUGUGGGUAUCAAACAGGAUUAGAUACCCGUGUAGUC